rnacentral:rRNA from 1 species
AGAGUUUGAUCCUGGCUCAGAACGAACGCUGGCGGCAGGCUUAACACAUGCAAGUCGAACGCCCCGCAAGGGGAGUGGCAGACGGGUGAGUAACGCGUGGGAAUCUACCGUGCCCUGCGGAAUAGCUCCGGGAAACUGGAAUUAAUACCGCAUACGCCCUACGGGGGAAAGAUUUAUCGGGGUAUGAUGAGCCCGCGUUGGAUUAGCUAGUUGGUGGGGUAAAGGCCUACCAAGGCGACGAUCCAUAGCUGGUCUGAGAGGAUGAUCAGCCACAUUGGGACUGAGACACGGCCCAAACUCCUACGGGAGGCAGCAGUGGGGAAUAUUGGACAAUGGGCGCAAGCCUGAUCCAGCCAUGCCGCGUGAGUGAUGAAGGCCUUAGGGUUGUAAAGCUCUUUCACCGGAGAAGAUAAUGACGGAUCCGGAGAAG